rnacentral:rRNA from 1 species
CCUACGGGAGGCAGCAGUGGGGAAUAUUGGGCAAUGGGCGCAAGCCUGACCCAGCAACGCCGCGUGAAGGAAGAAGGCUUUCGGGUUGUAAACUUCUUUUGUCAGGGAAGAGUAGAAGACGAUACCUGACGAAUAAGCCACGGCUAACUACGUGCCAGCAGCCGCGGUAAUACGUAGGUGGCAAGCGUUGUCCGGAUUUACUGGGUGUAAAGGGCGUGUAGCCGGGUUGACAAGUCAGAUGUGAAAUCCUGCGGCUUAACCGCAGAACUGCAUUUGAAACUGUUGAUCUUGAGUACUGGAGAGGAAGACGGAAUUCCUAGUGUAGCGGUGAAAUGCGUAGAUAUUAGGAGGAACACCAGUGGCGAAGGCGGUCUGCUGGAGAGCAACUGACGGUGAGGCGCGAAAGCGUGGGGAGCAAACAGGAUUAGAUACCCCAGUAGUC